rnacentral:rRNA from 1 species
CUACGGGCUGCAGCAGGUAGGAAAAUUCUACAAUGCGCGCAAGCGUGAUAGAGCAAGCCAGAGUGCGUUUCUAUAAUUGAAACGCUUUUGUACGAUGUAAAAAGUCGUACGAAUAAGGACUGGGAAAGACUGGUGCCAGCCGCCGCGGUAAUACCAGCAGUCCAAGUCGCAGCCAUUUUUAUUGGGUCUAAAACAUCCGUAGCUCGCUUAGUAAGUUUCAUGUAAAAUCUGAUAUCUUAAGUAUUGGGCUGCAUGAAAUACUGCAAAGCUAGAGACCGGGAGACGUAAAGAGUACAGUUUGGGUAGCGGUAAAAUGCGUUGAUCCUUACUGGACUAACAAUAGCGAAGGCACUUUACGAGAACGGUUCUGACAGUGAGGGAUGAAGGCUAGGGUCGCAAAACGGAUUAGAUACCCCCGUAGUC